UACGGGGGGGGUAAGCGUUGUUCGGAAUUACUGGGCGUAAAGGGCUCGUAGGCGGCCAACUAAGUCAUACGUGAAAUCCCUCAGCUUAACUGGGGAACUGCGUGUGAUACUGGAUGGCUUGGAUUUGGGAGAGGGAUGCGGAAUUCCAGGUGUAGCGGUGAAAUGCGUAGAUAUCAGGAGGAACACCUAAGGCGAAGGCAGCUCGCUGGAACGGUACUGACGCUGAGGCGCGAAAGCGUGGGGAGCAAACAGG
rnacentral:rRNA from 1 species